UUGAACGCUGGCGGCAGGCCUAACACAUGCAAGUCGAACGGUAACAGGAAGCAGCUUGCUGUUUCGCUGACGAGUGGCGGACGGGUGAGUAAUGUCUGGGAAACUGCCUGAUGGAGGGGGAUAACUACUGGAAACGGUAGCUAAUACCGCAUAACGUCGCAAGACCAAAGAGGGGGACCUUCGGGCCUCUUGCCAUCGGAUGUGCCCAGAUGGGAUUAGCUAGUAGGUGGGGUAACGGCUCACCUAGGCGACGAUCCCUAGCUGGUCUGAGAGGAUGGCCAGCCACACUGGAACUGAGACACGGUCCAGACUCCUACGGGAGGCAGCAGUGGGGAAUAUUGCACAAUGGGCGCAAGCCUGAUGCAGCCAUGCCGCGUGUAUGAAGAAGGCCUUCGGGUUGUAAAGUACUUUCAGCGGGGAGGAAGGGAGUAAAGUUAAUACCUUUGCUCAUUGACGUUACCCGCAGAAGAAGCACCGGCUAACUCCGUGCCAGCAGCCGCGGUAAUACGGAGGGUGCAAGCGUUAAUCGGAAUUACUGGGCGUAAAGCGCACGCAGGCGGUUUGUUAAGUCAGAUGUGAAAUCCCCGGGCUCAACCUGGGAACUGCAUCUGAUACUGGCAAGCUUGAGUCUCGUAGAGGGGGGUAGAAUUCCAGGUGUAGCGGUGAAAUGCGUAGAGAUCUGGAGGAAUACCGGUGGCGAAGGCGGCCCCCUGGACGAAGACUGACGCUCAGGUGCGAAAGCGUGGGGAGCAAACAGGAUUAGAUACCCUGGUAGUCCACGCCGUAAACGAUGUCGACUUGGAGGUUGUGCCCUUGAGGCGUGGCUUCCGGAGCUAACGCGUUAAGUCGACCGCCUGGGGAGUACGGCCGCAAGGUUAAAACUCAAAUGAAUUGACGGGGGCCCGCACAAGCGGUGGAGCAUGUGGUUUAAUUCGAUGCAACGCGAAGAACCUUACCUGGUCUUGACAUCCACAGAACUUUCCAGAGAUGGAUUGGUGCCUUCGGGAACUGUGAGACAGGUGCUGCAUGGCUGUCGUCAGCUCGUGUUGUGAAAUGUUGGGUUAAGUCCCGCAACGAGCGCAACCCUUAUCCUUUGUUGCCAGCGGUCCGGCCGGGAACUCAAAGGAGACUGCCAGUGAUAAACUGGAGGAAGGUGGGGAUGGCGUCAAGUCAUCAUGGCCCUUACGACCAGGGCUACACACGUGCUACAAUGGCGCAUACAAAGAGAAGCGACCUCGCGAGAGCAAGCGGACCUCAUAAAGUGCGUCGUAGUCCGGAUUGGAGUCUGCAACUCGACUCCAUGAAGUCGGAAUCGCUAGUAAUCGUGGAUCAGAAUGCCACGGUGAAUACGUUCCCGGGCCUUGUACACACCGCCCGUCACACCAUGGGAGUGGGUUGCAAAAGAAGUAGGUAGCUUAACCUUCGGGAGGGCGCUUACCACUUUGUGAUUCAUGACUGGGGUG
rnacentral:rRNA from 1 species